AACGCACAUUGCGCCCGCCAGUAUUCUGACGGGCAUGCCUGUUCGAGCGUCAUUUCAACCAUCAAGCCCCGGGCUUGCGUUGGGGCCCUGCGGCUGCCGCAGACCCCUAAAUCCAGUGGCGGGCUCGUCGUCGUACCGAGUGCAGUAAACAUCCUCUCUCGCGACCCCGACGGGUGCCGGCCGUGAAACCCCCCCUUCUCAAGGUUGACCUCGGAUCAGGUAGGAAUACCCGCUGAACUUAA
rnacentral:misc_RNA from 1 species